rnacentral:rRNA from 1 species
UGGAGAGUUUGAUCCUGGCUCAGGACGAACGCUGGCGGCGUGCUUAACACAUGCAAGUCGAACGGAAAGUGCUCUUCGGAGUGACUCGAGUGGCGAACGGGUGAGUAACACGUGGGUGAUCUGCCCUGCACUUUGGGAUAAGCCUGGGAAACUGGGUCUAAUACCGGAUAGGACCGCAUGCUUCAUGGUGUGUGGUGGAAAGCUUUUGCGGUGUGGGAUGGGCCCGCGGCCUAUCAGCUUGUUGGUGGGGUAAUGGCCUACCAAGGCGACGACGGGUAGCCGGCCUGAGAGGGUGUCCGGCCACACUGGGACUGAGAUACGGCCCAGACUCCUACGGGAGGCAGCAGUGGGGAAUAUUGCACAAUGGGCGCAAGCCUGAUGCAGCGACGCCGCGUGAGGGAUGACGGCCUUCGGGUUGUAAACCUCUUUCAGUAGGGACGAAGCGCAAGUGNCGGUACCUAUAGGAGAAGCGCCGGCCAACUACGUGCCAGCAGCCGCGGUA